UCUUGAUGAUGUUAACGUUAAGCUGAGCAAAAUGUAGUUGGUCCUUCAUUUGCACUAGCUGAUGCUUACUGUCCUUUCAAGACGGGGCUGAGAGAAGC
rnacentral:snoRNA from 10 species